CACACAUACAUAAUACAUGUCUGUGUGUGUGUGUGUGUGUGUGUGUGUAUAUAUAUACACACAUACACACACACACACACACAUAUGUGUAUGUA